UAACUUGCACUGCAUAGCAGAAAUGAAAGUUGGCUCUGUGCUAGGUUCCCUGUGUUUUGCUUUGUGGGUAGAUCCUCAUUCCUUACCUGCCUCAACACAGAAGAAUUUCAACUGAAACGGAAGGAGCCAAAAGACCAACCUGAGCCGUUUGAGUCUACAACAUGCCUCCAAAAAAAGAGGCAAAACAGGAAGACGAAUAUGUGACAAUCGGCAAUGUAAAUGAACUGCUGCAGCAACAAAAAGUAAUGUUUACCGCACUACUGGAACAACAACACAGCAACUUCAAAGGAUUUGUCAAACUAAUAAUGGAAUCCACGAACACUAGACUAGAAUCAAUAACCAGGGAACUAGAAGAAAUAAAAACCAGUCUGCAAUAUACACAAAAAGAAGUGGAUGACAUUAAAACGGAGACAACAGAUCUGAAAGAACGCAGUACCUUGAUGCAAACAGAUAUUUUUAAAGUCUGUGACAGCUUGCUGGCUGUCACGGACAAAAUUGAGUAUCUGGAGAGCCAAUCCAGGCGAAAUAACCUGGUAUUUGAUGGGAUACAGGAGUCACAGGGAGAGACCUGGUCAGAGACGGAGGAGAAGGUAAAAAAACUUGAAGGAAAAAUUACAGUUGCAAUGCGAGGUGGAGGUGGAGAGGGCCCACCGCACAGGAAAAACUGGAAGAAACCGACCGCGGCCAAUUGUCGUAAAAUUCCUAAGGCAUAAGGAUAGAAUGGAAAUAUUACAAAGAACCAGAAAUCUGAAAGGUUCCAGAAUAUACAUCAAUGAAGACUUCACAGAGGCAGUCAGAAGGAAAAGAAAAGAACUCAUGCCGGAUUUAAGAGCUGCGAGAGAAAAGGGGGACAUUGCCUAUUUACGACAGGACAAACUGAUCAUUUAUCCCCGGUCCAGCACACCAAAACAACCAAGGCCAGCUAACAUUAAUACAUAAACAGGAAGAAGAAUGGCCCAAGUACAACAGGAAUCAGUUGUCAAUACCUCCAGAUGACCCAGAGGAUGCAAACCAACAACACUGUCAGAGUGAAGUUCAAAGAUAGCAAGAAAUAUAUUUUUUCUCCAACACCUUUUACAUUUCAGACAUUUUUGGAAUGUGUUGGCAAGAAGUUUGAUCUUCCUACAAUGGACGUUAAAGUCUUUGAUAACUCGAAGACAGAAGUUGACGAGGAAGCAUUCAAAUAUCUGCUGACACGACCAGACCUUGGUGUCUUAGAAAUUUUCAUCCCAGGCACAGCAAGUUUUGAUAAGCAUGUCAAACAGUUUACCAAGUUUUGUGUUUAUUCUCAGCAAUAUUCACCAAUUCACUGAUUUGCACAGGCUAAUAUGUCUAUUGGACUUAUUCUCAAUAGCUGUGUAGCGUGCUAUCAAAGUAGUAUGAACAGAUAAUCAGACCACUGAUAUGGUUUAUAUUGAAGAUUCUUUAAGCUCAAGCUCAUUAGGAGAUGCUGGGGGCACGUCUGAGACUGAUGACACAGCAAUGUUGAUUAGAAGUCCUCCUAAAAAAAAUAGAGUUGAGGAACGUCGUCUUGCCCAAAUGGUCGAAGAUAUCCUAAAGAGCAGCCCUGGAGGCGAGAAGGUCAUAAAUGAAUACGCUCGCACUAAAAGUCUUUCAGAUGGCAGAAGACGUGACAUGGUGAAAAUCUUGGUAGCACAUUUGACAAAUGAACAUGGAACAAGCCCUUCUCGACGUUUGAAGGAAGAAUAUGCAAAGGGAAUCAUCUCCCUAUUCCCAUACUUGGCUGACCCCAGGAACAAACUUGGUUAUGAGCAUUAUUACAAUGCAGAAGAUGGAAGUGGAUAUUUGGCAUGGAGAAUUAAAACGCUGCAGAAAGAAGGAUCAGAGGGACGGUUGAAACGCCCACGGCAACCACAAACAGGUGGGCCAACUGCUGACAGGGAUCCAUACAAAGAAGACAGCUGGUUGAAUGAUGAACGUCAGUGUAAGGAAGCAAUUGCCCUGAUGAAGCAUAUAGCUGACAAGGCAGUGGUAAAGGAAAAGAUGAGGUUAACACUGGCCUAUCGUCAGAAGAUGCUGCACAACCCUAAAGAGGCAUCUGAUAUUCUAUCCAUUUUCCCACGAUUCAUGGAUAUACCAGGCUUGAUUGAUCAAGAUUUUGGACUUCUAUUUGGUGAUGCGACCUCUGCAAGUUGUUGGAGAAGUGGUCUACCAACAUAAAACCACAGGUUAUUGCACAGAGCCGUGGCCUCACACAGACUAGUGGGCUCCAAGACCUCAUCCAAAAUGCUGAAGCCACUGAAGUUGAAGGUUGGGACAGCGAUAUGUCUUCCAUUCUGAUGCUGGUUCACCUUUUGCCACCCUCAAGUCAAGGCCGCAAAAGACCGGGAAAAAUAUAAGCUAGACAAGCAUGUGAUUGUCUUGUAAAAUUCAUCAAGACUGGUACCAGUAUCCAAGGGCACUUGGAUAGCAUUGGAGAGAGACUCCAGCCAUAUCUACUUGUUGUUGGGCCAAAGAGAAGUAGGGUCCAGUCUUGUUUUAUUGUAAUUGACCAACAUGCUCUACCCUGUAAGGCCUCUAAUUUACUGGCAUGUGUUGAUGAGCUUUUCAAAGCUCACUUUGUCUUUGGCACUUCAUACUGUCAGGAAUUGACCAAUGUGUAUAGCUUUCUGCAAACCACUGUCUAUGACAUAGAUGUUGAAACCACCAAGGUGAAUCCCAGAGUGGCUGAGUUGAGAGCUAGAAUGCGCCAGUGAGCAGAUGAUGUUUCAUUUGUAAAAGGGGGCAUGCUAGUGCCAAUGCCCUGAUAAGGCACUUUAAGUUAGUUCAUGGCCUUUGUCCAGGAAAAAGUCUGAUUCAUUAAGAGAGGGUUCCAAUGACCUGGGCUUAAAUGCCACUCAGAGCUGGUGUUUAUUGCGUCAUCUACCCAUUAUAUUUGGAGAUCUUGUGCAUCCUAAUGAUCAGCACUGGUAUUUUUUCAUUUUAUUGUGUUUUCUUAAGUUAUAUCCACUGGUAUCACCAUUUAUUUGAAACACCUGAUUACAGAGCACCACAGUUUGUUUAAGCAUUUGUUUCCUGGUAAGAACUUGUUGCCGAAGCAUAAUUGUAUGGUGCAUUACCCCAUAACUUUUUAAAAAAGCAGUUGAAAAGCUUUAAAAACAUAACGAAAACAUUAGCAAAGAAACACCAAUGCCAAAUGGCUUAUAUUUGGCAAACAUUUGAUCCAAAUGACAUGAAAUUAGGUCCUGGGAAAAUGGCUCCCUUGAAUGAAAUGGAAGUUGGUGCUGAGAUGGCUGAGAAACUUCAUGUGCCUAUGUGGACUAAGGUCCUAAAUGUGAAAUGGGUCAAGCGCUGUGGAAAUACUUAUCGGUUAGGGUUAGCGGUUUGUGUUCAAGUUCAGAAUGACAUGCCUGUAUUUCAUGUAAUCCAGAAUAUUGUUAUCAAAGUUGAGCAGGUCCUUUUGAUAACAACUGCACUGAAAACGUUUUGUUUAGCUGAACAUAUCCAUGCUUACAAAGUUGCACUGUAACCUGAACACACACACACAAGAUGAGACAGUCACAAUGUCGGAUGAAAACUGCUUUAUUAAUAUAAAGUAGUGCAGGCAAAAGUACAAAGGGCAAAUCCAGUGAAGAGUUGUCGAGGGAAGCGUAGGGUCAAAAGCCGGGGUAAUCAGAAUGAGAGUAACUAGUGGGCAAAUCCGGGAGAGUAGUCGAGGGGAGCGAGGGUCAAAGCCGGGGUAAACAGGAUCGAGAGGCGGGUAAACUAACAGGGGAGCUAGGGGAACAAGAGAGGCUGGCAAGCUAAGGGGUAACGAAUCACAGGGGGGUCAAAACUAGACGAGACUAGCGGGGGGCAAAGACACGGGAAUCUAAAUACAAUAACCAACCCCUGUGAAACGGAAGUGCUGUGGUAUUUAUAGUGACGAGUGCAGGUGUAAACAAUGAACAGGAGUGCAGAUGACGCGAGUGCAGGUGUAAACAAUGACGUGGUGAUUGGGACGAGUGCAGGUGGUCAUAAUGUUCUGGAUGAGAGCGGGAAGCGAGCGAGUACUCUCGCGGAGUGCAUGUGUGCCCGAGGGGGGAGAUAGUCUACGAGCAUGUGAGCUCGUAGGAGCAAAAACGAGCGUGCAAGCUCGAACGAGCAAAACGGGCGUGGAAGCCCGAGGGAGGAAAAAGAGCGUACAAGCUCAAGGGGGCGGAGCGAGGGAGCGGGGUUCGUGACAUGCACAUACCACAGAAGCACCUUCUUUUUGGAGAUUAAAGAUAUUUUGCACAAGUUGUUUGACAUUCUGAUGUCUUAUGGUUGUGAUGCUGAUUUGUUUAUUGUACCAUAUUGUUUCAUGUAAUUCUUCUUUGUCUCCUCUUUUACAUUAUCAAUAUCACUAUUUUUUUUUUAGUAUUAUUGUUUUAAUAAUUUAUUAAAUUUUUUAUGAUCACAAGUGAAUUGUGUAAGUGUAUUAUUGUAUAAACAGGUGCUUGAAAAAUAAAAUUGUGAGA